UAUAUUUGUAUGUGUGUGUGUGUUAUUUACAGUUCAUAUUUCCAUUUCAGUUUUCACCAACAGUCUCACAUGUGGACAUUUAAAAUCUCAACCCACAUGGGGAAAGACAAUAAAGAGAUGUCAACACUGAAGUGAUCAGAUGUUGGAAUUAUCUGACAACAACUUUAAAGUGCUAUUAGAAAAAUGAUCCGGCAAACAAUCAUGAACUCUCUUAAAGCCAAUAGAAAGUCUUAGCAAAGAAAUAGAAGAUAUUAAAUGGAAACUUUAGAAAUUAAAAUCCCAAUAACUAAAGAAAACAAAACACCUCACUGGAUGGGCUCCAUAGUGGAAUGGAAUGACAGAGGAAAGAGUCAAUGAACUUGAAGAGAUCAAUAGAAAUUAUCCAGUCUGAACACAGUAAGGAAAGGGAUUUAAAAUGAACAGAGCCUCAGGUACCUGUGUUAAAAAUAACAUACGGUCUAACAUUCAUGUUUUUGGAGUCCCAGAAGGAGAGAAUAAGGAGUCCAGAGCUGAAAGAACAUUUGAAGAAAUAAUAUCUAAAAACUUCUCAAAAUUCAGCAAAAGACAUACACAUACAGAUUCAAGAAGUUCAGUGAAUCUAAAGCAGGACUAACCCAAAGAAAUCAAUGCACAGCCAAAUCAUGACUGAGUUGUUGAAAACUAAAGACAAAGAAAACAAUCUUGAAAGCAGCCAGAGGAAAACAUUCCAUUACCUUUAGGGGAACAACAGAGCAAGCGACUGUGGAUUUCUCAUUAUAGACCGCAGAGGCUAGAAGGAAGUGGCACAACAUGCUUACGUUGUGAAAGAAAAUAAUUAUUAGCCCCGAAUUCUAUAUCCAGCAAAAAAAUCCUUCAGGCAUGAAGAUGAAAUAAAGACAUUCUCAGAUGAAAAACCAAGAGGAUUCAUUGCUUACAGAGGUACUCUAAAAGAAUUAAUAAAGGAAUUUUUCAGGCAGAAGAGAAAUGCAGUCAGAAGAAUAUUUGUAACAUCAGGAAUGAACAAAACAAAACAAAAAAUAUUUGGAACAUCAGGAAUAAAGGAGAAGCAAUAGAAAUGAUGCUGCAGUCCCAGGACAAGGGAUCAGCUGCAGGUGCCAGAAGGAGGGGUGAUCCCUAAGCAAAGGACUGUAACUAUACUCUAAACAUGUAUCGUCAAGUCAAUUCGAACUCAUAGAGACACCGCGUACAACAGAAAAAAACACUGCCUGAUCCUGGGCCAUCCUUACAAUUGUUGCUGUGUUUGAGCCCAUUGUUGCAGCCACUGUGUCAAUUCAUUUUGUGAGGGGUCUUCCUCUUUUUCUCUGGUCUCAACCCACCUGGAGCAAAGGAGAAUGAAGAACACUGAAGACACAAGGUAAAUAUGAGCCCAAGAGACAGAAAGGGCCACAUAAACCAAGAGACUCCAUCAGCAUGAGACCACAGGAACUAGAUGGUGCCCAGGUACCACCAAUCACUGCCCUAACAGGGAACAGAACAGAGAAUCCCUAAUGGAGCAGAAGAACAGUGGGAUGCAGAUCUUAAAUUCUCAUAAAAGACUGGGCUUAAUGGUAUGACUGAGACAGGAGGGACCCUGCCGGUCAUGGUCUCCAGACCCUUUGAUAGCCCAAGAUUCGAACCAUUCCUGAAGCCAACUCUGCAGGCAGGGAUUGACUUGGACUAUAAAAUAGACAAUGAUCCUGGUGAGGAAUGAACUUCAUGGCUCCAGUAGACACAUGAGACUACGUGGGCGACUCCUGUCUCGUGAUGAGAUGAGAAGGAAGAAGAGGACAGGAGCCGGCUGAAUGAACACAGGGAACACAGGGUAGAGAGGAGGAAUGUGCUGUCUCAUUAAGGGGAGAGCAGCUGGGAGUGCACAGUGGGGUGGGUAUGGCUAUUUGUAUGAGAGACUGACUUGAUUUGUAAACUUUCACCUAAAGCACAACAAAUAAAUUAUAAAAAAAUAAAAAUAAAAGCCCCAAACCCCUUAGGUAUUACUCCCCAAUGCCCCCAUCCUUAGCCCUAAGGAACCACUAAUCUACUUUUGGUCCCAAGAUAUUUGCCUAUUCUGGACAUUUCAAGUAAAUGGAAUAAUAUAAUAUGUGGUCUUCUGUAACUGGCUUCUUUCAUUUAGCAUGACAUUUUUGACAUGGUUCAUCCCUGCUGUAGCAUUUAUCAGUACUUCAUUCCUUUUUAUGGUUGAAUAAUGUUCCAGUGGGUGGAUAUACCACAUUUUGGUUAUCCAUUCAUCAGCUGAUGGACAUUUGUGUUGUUCCCACCUUUUGGCCAUUAUGAAUAAUGUUAUACACCUAUGAACUUUUUUUUUAUGAACAUUCCUGUAUAAAUUUUUGUAUGGGCAUGUGUUUUUAUUUCCCUUGGGUAGAUGGGAAGGAGUAGAAUUGCUGGAUCAAAUGGUAACUCUAUGUUUAACUUUUUGAGGAACUGCCAGGCUAUUUUCCUAAGUGGCUUUAUUUACCAUUUUACAUUCCCACCACUAGUGUAGGAGGGUUCCACUUUCUCCACAUCUUCGCCAACAUUUGUUAUUAUCUAACUUUUUGAUGGUAGCCAUCCUAGCAGGUAUAAAGUAAUAUAUUUCAUUGUGGUUUUUAUUUGCAUUUGAUUCAAGCAUCUUUUCAUGGCUUUUAGCUAUUUUUAUAUCUUCUCUGGAGAAUGUCUAUUCAGAUCAUUUGCCCAUUUUAAAUUGGGUUAUCUUCCUUUCUAUUAUUUAGUUAUGAGGUCUUUAAGUAUUCUAAAUCCAAGUUCCUUAUCAGAUAUAUUAUCUGCAAAAAUUUUCUCCCAUUCUGUGGAUUUUUUUUUUUUUUUUACCUUCUUGAAAUAGCAUCCUUAGAGGCACAAAAGUUUUUAAUUUUGAUGAAGUCUAAUUUUCCAAUUUUUUCCCUUGGUGGCUAAUG